rnacentral:lncRNA from 8 species
AUGCAGUCACAGUCAGACUUUGGUAACAUUACAAAGGGCUGUGUAAAAUCAAUAACUCAAAUACAGAAGCUUCCGGAAGAGACAAAUAACUACCUUGAAGUUCUCACUUUGAGUUUUAUUUGUUGGUCUGAGACUCUUCUGACAUCAGGGAUUCAACAGUAUUUGACUGUACAUUUGGAAGCCCACUAUGGAGAGCUGUUACUCCAGCUAUUAAAGGCCUGGUCCAAAGUAGUCCACUGUAUAGGGAGUAGGGUGCUCAUUUUGGACAAACACCUAAUCACAAUAACAUAGUAGAUAGUAUGACACAGUGCAGCCGCAACAACAGCAGCGGGAGGAGUGACUCGGCAAACCCAAGCGCUCUACAGUAGUGAUAACCAGCUGGAACGUGGGCCUCAGUGAAGACACCGCCCUCUACAGUAGUGAUAACCAGCUGGAACGUGGGCCUCAGUGAAGACAGACACCGCCCUCUACAGUAGUGAUAACCAGCUGGAACAUGGGCCUCAGUGAAGACACCGCCCUCUACAGUAGUGAUAACCAGCUGGAACAUGGGCCUCAGUGAAGACACCGCCCUCUACAGUAGUGAUAACCAGCUGGAACGUGGGCCUCAGUGAAGACAGACACCGCCCUCUACAGUAGUGAUAACCAGCUGGAACAUGGGCCUCAGUGAAGACACCGCCCUCUACAGUAGUGAUAACCAGCUGGAACAUGGGCCUCAGUGAAGACACCGCCCUCUACAGUAGUGAUAACCAGCUGGAACGUGGGCCUCAGUGAAGACAGACACCGCCCUCUACAGUAGUGAUAACCAGCUGGAACAUGGGCCUCAGUGAAGACACCGCCCUCUACAGUAGUGAUAACCAGCUGGAACAUGGGCCUCAGUGAAGACACCGCCCUCUACAGUAGUGAUAACCAGCUGGAACGUGGGCCUCAGUGAAGACAGACACCGCCCUCUACAGUAGUGAUAACCAGCUGGAACAUGGGCCUCAGUGAAGACACCGCCCUCUACAGUAGUGAUAACCAGCUGGAACAUGGGCCUCAGUGAAGACACCGCCCUCUACAGUAGUGAUAACCAGCUGGAACGUGGGCCUCAGUGAAGACAGACACCGCCCUCUACAGUAGUGAUAACCAGCUGGAACAUGGGCCUCAGUGAAGACACCGCCCUCUACAGUAGUGAUAACCAGCUGGAACAUGGGCCUCAGUGAAGACACCGCCCUCUACAGUAGUGAUAACCAGCUGGAACGUGGGCCUCAGUGAAGACAGACACCGCCCUCUACAGUAGUGAUAACCAGCUGGAACAUGGGCCUCAGUGAAGACACCGCCCUCUACAGUAGUGAUAACCAGCUGGAACAUGGGCCUCAGUGAAGACACCGCCCUCUACAGUAGUGAUAACCAGCUGGAACGUGGGCCUCAGUGAAGACAGACACCGCCCUCUACAGUAGUGAUAACCAGCUGGAACAUGGGCCUCAGUGAAGACACCGCCCUCUACAGUAGUGAUAACCAGCUGGAACAUGGGCCUCAGUGAAGACACCGCCCUCUACAGUAGUGAUAACCAGCUGGAACGUGGGCCUCAGUGAAGACAGACACCGCCCUCUACAGUAGUGAUAACCAGCUGGAACAUGGGCCUCAGUGAAGACACCGCCCUCUACAGUAGUGAUAACCAGCUGGAACAUGGGCCUCAGUGAAGACACCGCCCUCUACAGUAGUGAUAACCAGCUGGAACGUGGGCCUCAGUGAAGACAGACACCGCCCUCUACAGUAGUGAUAACCAGCUGGAACAUGGGCCUCAGUGAAGACACCGCCCUCUACAGUAGUGAUAACCAGCUGGAACAUGGGCCUCAGUGAAGACACCGCCCUCUACAGUAGUGAUAACCAGCUGGAACGUGGGCCUCAGUGAAGACAGACACCGCCCUCUACAGUAGUGAUAACCAGCUGGAACAUGGGCCUCAGUGAAGACACCGCCCUCUACAGUAGUGAUAACCAGCUGGAACAUGGGCCUCAGUGAAGACACCGCCCUCUACAGUAGUGAUAACCAGCUGGAACGUGGGCCUCAGUGAAGACAGACACCGCCCUCUACAGUAGUGAUAACCAGCUGGAACGUGGGCCUCAGUGAAGACAGACACCGCGCUCUACAGUAGUGAUAACCAGCUGGAACGUGGGCCUCAGUGAGGACACCGCCCUCAACAGUAGUGAUAACCAGCUGGAACAUGGGCCUCAGUGAGGACACCGCCCUCUACAGUAGUGAUAACCAGCUGGAACAUGGGCCUCAGUGAGGACAGACACCGCCCUCUACAGUAGUGAUAACCAGCUGGAACGUGGGCCUCAGUGAGGACACCGCCCUCUACAGUAGUGAUAACCAGCUGGAACAUGGGCCUCAGUGAAGACAGACACCGCCCUCUAUAGUAGUGAUAACCAGCUGGAACGUGGGCCUCAGUGAGGACACCGCCCUCUACAGUAGUGAUAACCAGCUGGAACAUGGGCCUCAGUGAGGACAGACACCACCCUCUACAGUAGUGAUAACCAGCUGGAACGUGGGCCUCAGUGAAGACAGACACCGCCCUCUACAGUAGUGAUAACCAGCUGGAACGUGGGCCUCAGUGAAGACACCGCCCUCUACAGUAGUGAUAACCAGCUGGAACGUGGGCCUCAGUGAAGACACCGCCCUCUACAGUAGUGAUAACCAGCUGGAACGUGGGCCUCAGUGAGGACACCGCCCUCUAUAGUAGUGAUAACCAGCUGGAACGUGGGCCUCUGUGAGGACACCGCCCUCUAUAGUAGUGAUAACCAGCUGGAACGUGGGCCUCAAUGAAGACAGACACCGCCCUCUACAGUAGUGAUAACCAGCUGGAACAUGGGCCUCAGUGAAGACACCGCCCUCUAUAGUAGUGAUAACCAGCUAGAACGUGGGCCUCAGUGAAGACAGACACCGCCCUCUACAGUAGUGAUAACCAGCUGGAACGUGGGCCUCAGUGAAGACACCGUCCUCUACAGUAGUGAUAACCAGCUGGAACGUGGGCCUCAGUGAAGACACCGCCCUCUACAGUAGUGAUAACCAGCUGGAACAUGGGCCUCAGUGAAGACACCGCCCUCUACAGUAGUGAUAACCAGCUGGAACAUGGGCCUCAGUGAGGACACCGCCCUCUACAGUAGUGAUAACCAGCUGGAACGUGGGCCUCAGUGAGGACAGACACCGCCCUCUACAGUAGUGAUAACCAGCUGGAACAUGGGCCUCAGUGAAGACACCGCCCUCUACAGUAGUGAUAACCAGCUGGAACGUGGGCCACAGUGAGGACACCGCCCUCUAUAGUAGUGAUAACCAGCUGGAACAUGGGCCUCUGUGAGGACACCGCCCUCUAUAGUAGUGAUAACCAGCUGGAACGUGGGCCUCAAUGAAGACAGACAUCGCCCUCUACAGUAGUGAUAACCAGCUGGAACAUGGGCCUCAGUGAAGACACCGCCCUCUAUAGUAGUGAUAACCAGCUAGAACGUGGGCCUCAGUGAAGACAGACACCGCCCUCUACAGUAGUGAUAACCAGCUGGAACGUGGGCCUCAGUGAAGACACCGUCCUCUACAGUAGUGAUAACCAGCUGGAACGUGGGCCUCAGUGAGGACACCGCCCUCUAUAGUAGUGAUAACCAGCUGGAACAUGGGCCUCAGUGAAGACAGACACCGCCCUCUACAGUAGUGAUAACCAGCUGGAACAUGGGCCUCAGUGAAGACAGACACCGCCCUCUACAGUAGUGAUAACCAGCUGGAACAUGGGCCUCAGUGAAGACAGACACCGCCCUCUACAGUAGUGAUAACCAG